rnacentral:rRNA from 1 species
AGAAGUAAAAGUCGUAACAAGGUUUCCGUAGGUGAACCUGCGGAAGGAUCAUUAUCGUAUGACGAGAGGCGCCAGGGCUGUCGCUGACCUCCCAUUUCGAGGUCGUGCACGCCCCGAGCGUCCUCACACAUCCACCACACAACCCCCCUUUGUGCAUCACCGCGUGGGUUCCUUUGGGUCGGUUCGAUCCAAGUGGGGCUUGCGCUUUUUACACAAACACAGUGUAGAAUGUCCCACCUUACUUUGCGGUUGUACGCAAUCAAUACAACUUUCAACAACGGAUCUCUUGGCUCUCGCAUCGAUGAAGAACGCAGCGAAAUGCGAUACGUAAUGUGAAUUGCAGAAUUCAGUGAAUCAUCGAAUCUUUGAACGCACCUUGCGCCCCUUGGCAUUCCGAGGGGCACACCCGUUUGAGUGUCGUGAAUUCCUCAACCUUCUGCAUUUCUUUAAUAGCAGAAGGCUUGGACUUUGGAGGUUCCUGCUGGCCUCUUCGGAAGCCAGCUCCUCUUAAAUGGAUUAGCAGGGUCUGCCUUUGGCCGAUCCUCGACGUGAUAAGCUGCUUCUACGUCGUGGAUUUGGCUCUGCCUCUUUUGAGACCUGCUUCUAAUCGUCUCGUUGAGACGGCCGUCAGAGUCACCCUUUCUUCCUUCACGGGAAAAGAGGAGGUGAACCUUUUGACCCACGAACCCUUUGACCUCAAAUCGGGUGAGACUACCCGCUGAACUUAAGCAUAUCAAAA